GAAACCCAGGACUUUGAGUUUGAAUCCCAGCCCUCCUACGUGCUCUGUCACUUCAGCCAAAUCCCUUCACCUCUUGGGGAUUGGUGACAAUAAUGUGCCUUGCUGAUGGUGGGGGGAGGUCUCGAGUGAGGCUCUUUGGAAGGGCAAAGGGUUAGGUCAUAUGUCCCCAUGCGCACCCGAGUCCCCUUUCCCGUUCGCUGCAGUGGCGGGAAAUGGCGCCUCUCUGAAGUCCCAUCACUUCCUGCUUCCAAGUUUCAGUAGGAGCUGGGCCAGUAGGUGUAACUGCCAGGCGCCCUUCGGCGCGGCUCCCGUGGCGCUUCCUGUGCCCAGCGCAGCCAGCCUGUUGCGGGCAGGGGAGCAAUGCCAAGGGAACCAUGCUUCACCCUCUCCCCCGUCACCCACGUGGAUGUGUCAGCAGCCCCUCCCCUCCUGAGGAUUAGCGCCUGGAUUACUUCUGUUGGCGUCAGAAUUGUCCUUAUCUCAGCCAUCAUCAUUUCAGCCGCAACCGGUCGAGCGCUUCCUAAGUGCCAAGACUUCCGCACGUGACCCCCCCGCCAGCCGUCACCGACAGGUGAGAAUCCGGGCUUUCCUUUAUCAGCUAGCUCCUGGUUUGGAAGGAUUUGUUUCUAUCUGUGUCUAAGGUACAAAAGAAAAGAGGCGUUUUAACGCGGGGCAGAAGUGUGAGUCAGAGACAGCUUCAGACAAUCUGAGGUUUACCCACGCCUUCCGCUGCCAUCACCGCUCACGCUCAUACCCCAUGCUCCAGGCGUCGCAAGGCAAGGGUGGAGCUGGUGAGCCAAGCCCACUGAGCUGCUGGGAGUGGGGGUGUCUGCCCUUCAGCUGCUCAACUACGCGAGGAAGCGGAGAGGCCGGUCUCCUCCUCUUCGAGCGAUGGCAGGAUUCAGAAGAAAGAACGUGGUCGCUGUCUUCCUGCACAGCAGAACGAGCGUCCGCAAAUGAGAAUUGCCACAGGCCACGCACGGUGUCUAAGCAGGUACUUUGCCGAGCGCAAUUUCACAUAGCAUUUAAAAAAAUGCUUCCUUGCCAGGACUCUCUCUACUAAAGGCCACUUGGAAGAACUUGGAAAGCUUAACGAGGCCCCGAAAGGUUGCAGAGAAGGAAAAGUAUCGGCAUCAGCAAGCGUUAGAGAGGACGGGCCCUGCCAGGGAGGUGCUUGUCUGUCUCCGGCGGAAAGUUCCACCUGUCAUGGCACGAGCCUGG
rnacentral:lncRNA from 1 species